AUUGAACGCUGGCGGCAUGCUUUACACAUGCCAGUCGAACGGCAGCGCGGGCUUCGGCCUGGCGGCGAGUGGCGAACGGGUGAGUAAUACAUCGGAACGUGCCCAGUAGUGGGGGAUAGCUCGGCGAAAGCCGGAUUAAUACCGCAUACGACCUGAGGGUGAAAGCGGGGGAUCUUCGGACCUCGCGCUAUUGGAGCGGCCGAUGGCAGAUUAGCUAGUUGGUGGGGUAAAGGCCUACCAAGGCGACGAUCUGUAGCUGGUCUGAGAGGACGACCAGCCACACUGGGACUGAGACACGGCCCAGACUCCUACGGGAGGCAGCAGUGGGGAACUUUGGACAAUGGGCGAAAGCCUGAUCCAGCAAUGCCGCGUGUGUGAUGAAGGCCUUUGGGUUGUAAAGCACUUUUGGCGGGAACGAAAAGGACUGUGCCAAUACCACGGUUCGAUGACGGUACCCGCAGAAUAAGCACCGGCUAACUACGUG
rnacentral:rRNA from 1 species